rnacentral:tRNA from 1 species
UGGCUCAGUGGAUAGAGCAUCAGCCUGCAGACUGAAGGGUCCCGGGUUCGAUUCCUGG